AUGGAGGAACCUCCAGCUUGGAGGACCUCCGGGUGUUUUGGAGGAGCGCUCCGCCUGGUCAUUGGAGGACUUCCUUUUCUUGGAGGACCUCAGCCUUGGGAGGGACUUCCGCCUAGUUGUUGGAGGACUCUCUGGCUGUUGUAUGGGAGGACUUCCUCUUGUUGGACGGACUCGCCUGUUCCUUGGAGGACCUCCAGCCCUUGGAGGACCUCCGGGUGUUGCUGGCAGGACUUCCUGUUGUUGGAGGACUUCCGCCUGUUGUUGGUCCUCCAUCCCUUGCCGUGGGUCCCGCUGCCCCCCCCCCAUUGGGGCUGUUGGCGGUUGUGGGUCCGGCUGUGGGUCAAACCAUCUCCUAUAGGCGAGCAGGAACACCCCCCCCCCCCAAGCCCGAUAACUCGUUAGCGUUAGUGCUAAUUAUGCUAAUGAAACCCAUAAUGAAGCCCUGAAUUGGAUAAGGGGGUUGGGGGGGUUUGCUAUGGUACCGGAGGGGGAGGGGGGAGGAAUAUGCAAAUAUGUAAUUAUGCAAAUGAGCCCCCGGGGUUAUUUAUAGUCGAGCUCCUCGUUAGCGGAGCAGCAUAAUGAACCAAUCAGUGCAAGUGCUGCACCUGCAAUGGGGGGAUAUAGGGGGGGAUAUGGGGGAUUAUGGGGGGAUAUAGGGGGGAUAUGGGGGGAUAUGGGGGAGAUAUGGGGGGGAUAUGGGGGGAUAUGGAGGGAUAUGGGGAUAUGGGGGAUAUGGGGAGCUUAUAAGGAUAUGGGGGAUAUGGGGGGAUAUAGGGGGAAUAUGGGGGGAUAUGGGGGGAUAUAGGGGAUAUGGGGGGUAUAGGGGGGAUAUGGGGGGAAUAUGGGGGGAUAGGGGGGAUAUGGGGUGAU
rnacentral:lncRNA from 1 species